AAGGUCAUGAUGCAGUGGAUUUGUUUACCUUGACAUUACUGAAGAUGUGGCUGUUUUCCUGCCUGCAUACAAGUUGAAUGGCUUAUGCUUGAAACGCAAGAAGAUGGAAGUCAAGACUGGUAAGGUUAAAAGGGAGAAACCUACCAUGACGAAAAAGAAGAACAAACAGGUCCCUUGCUACAAUUGCCCAAACUGCAGGGUGUGCUGUUCAUCUGAAGAUGCCCUGCUCGACCAUUUUAUAAGAAAGCAUUCAUCGUGGAAAGUUGAUAGGCCUGACACACUUUACAAU